rnacentral:misc_RNA from 1 species
AAGUCGUAACAAGGUUUCCGUAGGUGAACCUGCGGAAGGAUCAUUAACGUUUUUCGUUUUUCGUUGACCCUCCCUUGUGUGCACCCGAGUGAAAAGGAAAAAUUUUACUUGGACGGGGAUUUCUUCUCUCUCUCUCUCUCUCUCUCUGUUUCUCUCUCUCUCUCUGGUGGGGGAAAAAGAAGGGAAAAAGGAAAAAGGAAAAAACCGUCCGGUGAAAAACAAUUAAAUAACAAAAAGCAAAAAGGAAAAAUGAAUAAAUAUUCAAAUAAAAUAAAUAAAAACAACUUUCAACAACGGAUCUCUUGGUUCUC